UCUUCAAUUCUCUCCACCUAACCACCCACAAAUCAUUCACAAACAUGCAAUUCUCGACAAAAGAAGAACUUAUCGUCAGUUGUCCUUAACAUCUCGUUCAUUCAUUUGGUCCCUAUCCCCCUAUUUCCUCCCACUGCGAUGAUCGCACUACAUUUUUCCACGUCUCUAUUCUAUUCUCUGGAUGAUCUGAAUUCUCGAGCAGUCGAGUGACGAUUGAUCUGUACAAUUGAUCGAUUUCUUUUUACUACAGACAUGCAAGAAAUUCCGUGUUGGAGAGCGAUGUUGCGAGUUCGAGUGCCUGGACCAUCUGAAGACCGGAACUGGUAUAGUUUAUGUCGUUGAUGAUAAUAAUUCCUCCACGACUCAGCAACAAGAGCUACUCUGGGUGAUGAGCUUAAUGGUGCUGUUGCGGCUAUUUUAAUUUUUCAACAAGGAUCCAAAUGGCGCCGUUGACGAAAUUCUUUCAUUAUAAACGUCAACGAUCAACAUCAGCCAUCAGGGAACGAAGAAGGUACGCUGUAACGUGUCUGAGUAAUUAUACCUCGAGGAGUACAUACAGUUAUGUAAUGAAGAUUCGUAUGUGAGUGUUUGUUUUCUUAUUUCUUUUCCCUUUGUUUCAUUUGAAUGGAUUUUUGUACUCAAAGAGCGAGUUGACUGUAUGGUGGAUGUAUCUAAUGGUGUUGUAGUUGACUGUAUGUUGUUCAAUAUUGCUAUGAAACUCUUCUGAUUCAUUGUCACUUAUACGAAGGAUGGAAGUAUACGAAAUUGAUAAAAUUAUUAAUAAUAUUUACGAAGAGAAAGUAAACUGUUGGAUAUAUGACAAAAUAAUUCUAUUUUAAAUAAGAGACUGGUCAGAGUGGUUAUUUUGUUUACAAAAUCAAACGAACUUAAUGAAUGUAAUGGUAAGGAAGUAACUAUAAGUGGCUGUUAAACUAUUUUUAUGCUUGAAAAGUAAUUCGCAAAGUAAUGUAAAGCAGUACUACUGAGUUGUACAUAACCUCUUUCAGAAUUUGUUCUUAACCUCUUGCUUCAUAACUUCCUUAAUACUCUUCAAACUUAUUGACUACUUCGAUGUUGUUACGAACAGAAACUGAUAAAAUAUUAAUCUUAAAUAUAGAUUGAAAUGAAAGCUUGUCAGGUAAAUAUAUAUAUAUAUAUGUGUACUACUUACUCAAACUAUGGAUCACAUAACCUAUACAAAAAAAAAAAAAAAAAAAAAUUAUUGUACACUAUAAAGCAAGAGGUUAAAUCUUUAAUCUGUUAAGAAUUAAAUUUUUUAUUGUAACUGCGAAAAUUAUAAAAGUACCAAGCGAAGCAAGUACGGAAUAUAUGCGGAAUAUGAAUCGCUCAACGAACCAAAGAGCGGCUCAGUGACAAAAUUAGUAAAGUAAAGACCACAAAUAUAACAACAUUAUAUUCUACCACAAAAUAAUUCUCUAUACAAAAAAGGUACACAACGAAUCGAUUUUUCACAACGAUAAGAGUCAACAGAACCAAUCAAGACCAGGCGAGACUCUCAUAAGACAACGAUAUCAGAGGGAUCAAAUCAGCGACUUCAAUCUAUGUUACAGAGUAUAGUUAUCAAGAAAAAUUGCUCUUUUCAUGAAAAGUAUGGUAAUGAUACUCUUAUAAUACAUUGUAUAUCUGGCAGUCGGGUGUGCCCGUGGCCAUCGGAAAUGUAAAGACGACGCUUUUAGAAAGUGAUAGCGCCAUCGCGUUUUAAAAACGCGUUAGAAGAAGGACGGUUUCGCUAUCCAAGGCGAAUCGAAAAGUGUGCGUGUUGCGAGAAUCAGAGUUGAUCGAGACGUCGAAGCAUAGAGUCGUUAGAAUUGAGUUGCGAGUGUUGUCGAGUGUUAGAGUUGCUAGUGAGAGAGAGAGAGAGAGAGAGAGAGAGAGAGAGAGAGUUACCAAAUA